rnacentral:rRNA from 1 species
GAUGAACGCUGGCGGCGUGCCUAAUACAUGCAAGUCGAGCGAACAGACGAGGAGCUUGCUCCUCUGACGUUAGCGGCGGACGGGUGAGUAACACGUGGAUAACCUACCUAUAAGACUGGGAUAACUUCGGGAAACCGGAGCUAAUAACGGAUCAUAUAUUGAACCGCAUGGUUCAAUAGUGAAAGACGGUUUUGCUGUCACUUAUAGAUGGAUCCGCGCCGCAUUAGCUAGUUGGUAAGGUAACGGCUUACCAAGGCGACGAUGCGUAGCCGACCUGAGAGGGUGAUCGGCCACACUGGAACUGAGACACGGUCCAGACUCCUACGGGAGGCAGCAGUGGGGAAUCUUCCACAAUGGGCGAAAGCCUGACGGAGCAAUGCCGCGUGGGUGAUGAAGGUCUUCGGGUCGUAAAACUCUGUUAUUAGGGAAGAAAAAAUGUGUAAGUAACUAUGCAUGUUUUGACGGUACCUAAUCAGAAAGCCACGGCUAACUUCGUG